GAGUUUGAUCGUGGCUCAGAGCGAACGCUGGCGGCAGGCCUAACACAUGCAAGUCGAACGGAUCCUUCGGGAUUAGUGGCGGACGGGUGAGUAACACGUGGGAACGUGCCCUUUGGUUCGGGACAACUCAGGGAAACUUGAGCUAAUACCGGAUGUGCCCUUCGGGGGAAAGAUUUAUCGCCAUUGGAGCGGCCCGCGUCUGAUUAGCUUGUUGGUGAGGUAAAGGCUCACCAAGGCUACGAUCAGUAGCUGGUCUGAGAGGAUGAUCAGCCACAUUGGGACUGAGACACGGCCCAAACUCCUACGGGAGGCAGCAGUGGGGAAUCUUGCGCAAUGGGCGAAAGCCUGACGCAGCCAUGCCGCGUGAAUGAUGAAGGUCUUAGGAUUGUAAAAUUCUUUCAGCAGGGACGAUAAUGACGGUACCUGCAGAAGAAGCCCCGGCUAACUUCGUGCCAGCCGCCGCCGUAAC
rnacentral:rRNA from 1 species